UAGGGAAUCUUCGGCAAUGGGGGGAACCCUGACCGAGCAACGCCGCGUGAGUGAAGAAGGUUUUCGGAUCGUAAAGCUCUGUUGUUAAGGAAGAACGAGUGUGAGAAUGGAAAGUUCAUACUGUGACGGUACUUAACCAGAAAGGGACGGCUAACUACGUGCCUGCAGCCGCGGUAAUACGUAGGUCCCGAGCGUUGUCCGGAUUUAUUGGGCGUAAAGCGAGCGCAGGCGGUUAGAAAAGUCUGAAGUGAAAGGCAGUGGCUCAACCAUUGUAGGCUUUGGAAACUGUUUAACUUGAGUGCAGAAGGGGAGAGUGGAAUUCCAUGUGUAGCGGUGAAAUGCGUAGAUAUAUGGAGGAACACCGGUGGCGAAAGCGGCUCUCUGGUCUGUAACUGACGCUGAGGCUCGAAAGCGUGGGGAGCGAACAGG
rnacentral:rRNA from 1 species